GAUGUCGCCAAGCGGUAAGGCAUCAGACUUUGACUCUGACAUGCGUCGGUUCGAAUCCGGCCAUC
rnacentral:tRNA from 1 species